CCCACUUACUGUGUUCGUAAAAAUGUGUUAUGAUUUCUAUUUUUUCAUCUAGGUGUCUAAAUCCUGUGAGGAUUUGUAUUUUCUCAAACUCUUUUAUGAGAUGCCUUCUACCAUUUAAAGAAGUGUGUCAAAAAUGUCAACCUCAUUUCGUCGAAAGGUUGCUUCUCUGGUAACUGCCUGUUUAUCACCUGUCCACAAACAUUUAAAUACAAAUGUUACUGAAUAUGUUUCUAAACUGCUCAAAGUUUGU
rnacentral:lncRNA from 1 species